AUGAAGACAUACACGACGGUCAAGGACAAGCUCCUUUGUGAGUGUUGGAGGAACAUUGGGCAAGACCCCAAGGUCGGCGCCGAACAAAAGGCAUCAACCUUUUGGAUUCGUGUCGACCGUGAGUACCGUGAGCGCAAGAAGUUUGUGCCGUACCAAAUGCAAAGCACGCGCGGGUGGGUGUCCAUUUCGAAGCGAUGA
rnacentral:rRNA from 1 species